ACUAAAAGUGAUAUGAAUGAUAAUGCAGUGCAUCUGUUAUUAAACAUACCACAGCAAGAAUGAUGAACAGUAGAUAUUAAGAUAAAACAAGAUCAAAAGAAAAUAGCUGAAUACAUAUGUUUAAAGAUGCAAAGUCCAACAAUAAUGUUAUAAAAUAAAAAAAAAUCUUGCUUAAUACAAAUAAUAAUUAAUUGAUUAAACAAACCAAUGAAACUCUUAAUGUUGACUCUAUUCAGCAAAAUUACUCUUUUAUAAGUUCAGGGGCCACGAAAUCUACUGAUGGGAUUUUUGUACAUGCUGAUAAAAUUCUGAUAGAAACUAACAUUUUAAGUGAUAUUUUUUUGGAAAUAAAAACAAAGAACAUAA